GCAAAUAUAAUUUUAAAAGGUACAAAAAUCUAACUUGAAUCUCUACUCUUGUAGUUAAAUAAUGUCAGCUUCAAACCUUCUAGCCCGCAUCCUUAAGUCCAAUCGUUUGAUCGGAACAAAUUAUAAAGACUGGCUAAGAAAUCUUAAGAUUGUCCUGACCUCAAAAAAAACUAGAUCAUGUACUCAAUUAGGAACCCAUAGUAUUACCAAAUCGUCCUAC
rnacentral:lncRNA from 1 species